rnacentral:rRNA from 1 species
GACGAACGCUGGCGGCGUGCUUAACACAUGCAAGUCGAGCGGUAAGGCCCUUUCGGGGGUACACGAGCGGCGAACGGGUGAGUAACACGUGGGUGACCUGCCCUCAGCUCUGGGAUAAGCCUGGGAAACUGGGUCUAAUACUGGAUAUGACUCCACGGUGCAUGUCGUGGGGUGGAAAGCCUUGUGCGGCUGAGGAUGGGCCCGCGGCCUAUCAGCUUGUUGGUGGGGUGAUGGCCUACCAAGGCGACGACGGGUAGCCGGCCUGAGAGGGCGACCGGCCACACUGGGACUGAGACACGGCCCAGACUCCUACGGGAGGCAGCAGUGGGGAAUCUUGCGCAAUGGGCGAAAGCCUGACGCAGCG